rnacentral:rRNA from 1 species
CCUACGGGAGGCAGCAGUGAGGAAUAUUGGUCAAUGGACGAGAGUCUGAACCAGCCAAGUAGCGUGAAGGAUGACUGCCCUAUGGGUUGUAAACUUCUUUUAUAUGGGAGUAAAAUGUUCCAAGUGUGGGAUUAUGUAUGUACCAUAUGAAUAAGGAUCGGCUAACUACGGGCCAGCAGCCGCGGUAAUACGGAGGAUCCGAGCGUUAUCCGGAUUUGUUGGGGUUAAAGUGAGCGUAGGUGGAUUGUUAAGUCAGUUGUGAAAGUUUGCGGCUCAACCGUAAAAUUGCAGUUGAAACUGGCAGUCUUGAGUACAGUAGAGGUGAGCGGAAUUCGUGGUGUAGCGGUGAAAUGCUUAGAUAUCACGAAGAACUCCGCUUGCGAAGGCAGCUCACUGGACUGCAACUGACACUGAGGCUCGAAAGUGUGGGUAUCAAACAGGAUUAGAUACCCCGGUAGUC